AGUGAACGCUGGCGGUAGGCCUAACACAUGCAAGUCGAACGGCAGCACAGGAGAGCUUGCUCUCUGGGUGGCGAGUGGCGGACGGGUGAGGAAUACAUCGGAAUCUACUCUGUCGUGGGGGAUAACGUAGGGAAACUUACGCUAAUACCGCAUACGACCUACGGGUGAAAGCAGGGGACCUUCGGUCCUUGCGCGAUUGAAUGAGCCGAUGUCGGAUUAGCUAGUUGGCGGGGUAAAGGCCCACCAAGGCGACGAUCCGUAGCUGGUCUGAGAGGAUGGUCAGCCACACUUGAACUGAGACACGGUCCAGACUCCUACGGGAGGCAGCAGUGGGGAAUAUUGGACAAUGGGCGCAAGCCUGAUCCAGCCAUACCGCGUGGGUGAAGAAGGCCUUCGGGUUGUAAAGCCCUUUUGUUGGGAAAGAAAUCCAGCUGGCUAAUACCCGGUUGGGAUGACGGUACCCAAAGAAUAAGCACCGGCUAACUUCGUGCCAGCCGCCGCCGUAA
rnacentral:rRNA from 1 species